rnacentral:rRNA from 1 species
UGGGUAACCUGCCUCAAAGAGGGGAAUAGUCUCCCGAAAGGGGAGAUUAAUACCGCAUAAUAUGUUUUAAUCGCAUGAUUUUAACAUCAAAGGAUUUUCUUAGGAAAUUCCACUUUGAGAUGGACCCGCGGCGCAUUAGCUAGUUGGUGAGGUAACGGCUCACCAAGGCAACGAUGCGUAAGCCGACCUGAGAGGGUNAUCGGCCACAUUGGAACUGAGACACGGUCCAGCUCC